rnacentral:rRNA from 1 species
CCGGCGGCGGUGGGUCCCUGGGGCCCAGAUCGUUUACCGUGAAAAAAUUAGAGUGUUCAAAGCAGGCAGAUCCAAUUUUCUGCCACCGAAUACAUUAGCAUGGGAUAAUGGAAUAGGACCCUGUCCUCCUAUUUUCAGUUGGUUUUGGCAGCGCGAGGACUAGGGUAAUGAUUAAUAGGGAUAGUUGGGGGCAUUAAUAUUUAAUUGUCAGAGGUGAAAUUCUUGGAUUUAUGAAAGAUUAACUUCUGCGAAAGCAUCUGCCAAGGAUGUUUUCAUUAAUCAAGAACGAAAGUUAGGGGAUCGAAGACGAUCAGAUACCGUCGUAGUCUUAACCAUAAACGAUGCCGACCAGCGAUUAGGAGACGUUGAAUACAAAACACCACCAUCGGUGCGGUCGUCCUUGGCGUCGGUCUUUCGGGGCCGGCGCGGGGACGGCUUAGCCCGGUGGCACCGGUGAAUGACUCCCCUAGCAGCUUGUGAGAAAUCAUAA